CCUAUGAAAAAAUGAACACCCAUGAACAACUCGAAAUGGUGCAAAGAUUACAAGAAAUUAAAAGAAAAAAUUAGAGAGAAAAAACACAAAUUGAUCACAAAGGAAAGAAGAUAAGUGAAUUUGUUUGACACCAUAAAUUCUCCAUGGCCCAAGUGUAGGUGGCCGGGCAUUUACAUGAACAUGAAUUUGGAGAUUGCGAGUAUGCCACCAUUAUUUCCUGCUAAUAUACGGGAACUAAGUAGCUGCUGUCCAAACAAAAGGAAAUCUAAUUCCUUUAUUGCCGAAGCAAGUCCACUACUCUAUCGUUUCUUGUACAAGAAGUAAAAGCAAAUCCUUUCAAACCUAAAGUUUAGAUUUUGUGACCCUCUUAUACUUCUGUUAGCUUUUACGUCAAAACACGUUAAAGUGUAACAUGACACUCUCAUGGACAAUAAUUGUGCAAUGAACAUAUGAAACAAUUAAAACAUUAAAAAAAAUGACAAAAUAAGAAUUAACAAUUAAAAAUAAAGGAUAAAAUUAUUUCAAAAAAAUAAAUAACAAAGAAAGAAAAGAAACCACCGCUCUUCUACACCGCACCAUCGUCAUUGAUGCCAAGUCCAGCAAUGCUUCAGCUCAUCAACAACCCCAAUUCCUGCUCCAGGUUUCAAUUCCCAAACAAUUUUCUCAGCCUCUCUGCAAAUUUUCUCCCCGGAUUGUUGAGAGUUGAUGGUGUGUGCAGAGUUUGUCCCACAUCAAUAAGGGACAAGUCUAGCUAAGGGCUUAUACGAUUUUGGAUUAUUCCCCACAUUGUCAAUUAGUUUUGUAGUAGAACUCCAAUUUCAUCAUGGUAUCGGAGCAUGUUGUUCCUCGUGUGAAAGCUCAAAAGGGUCACACUUUGCUUAUGUGUCACCCAUUUAUUGUCCAUGUCUAGGGUUAAAAAUCGACCACACGUGUGAGGUCGUGUUGAGAGUUGAUGGUGUGUGGGGAGUUUAUCCCACAUCGGCGACGGACAAGUCUACCUAAGGGUUUAUAUGAUCUUAAACUACUCUUCAUAUUGCCAAUUAAAUUCCUUUUGUUUGGACGAUGGCUUUAUGCCAAACUCGUUAUUUAAUCGAAUAUACAACAACGCAUUCACAUUG